GGUAUUUGUACCUUUAUUUCAUCAUUUAGUUCCUCCAGGACCUGCAAAGAAAUUUACAUGAAUAGGAAAUUCCUGAAGUAACUGAACCAAAUGCCCCACUUCAAGCUUUGAAUGCUGUUUCAUUUAACAAGUUCAUCUUUGCCUUCCGGUGUUACAUUCUGCCCUUUAGCAUGUUUGGAAUGCAAGUGCUGGUUAGCAUCCUACCUUCUCUUUGUUACAAGCAGGGCAACAAAUGUGCCAUUAAUAAGAAUACUACUUAAAGAGCACCAAACACAAAGUCAUGUAUUAAAAUGAUCACCCAUCUCCCAGUUGGUACGAACUGAAUGUGGUCACUUGAGAUUUUAGGUUAUGGAAAUCAAUAACGAAACAUUGGAAAAUUAACAAUGGACACUUCUAAACUGUUACAAUCAUAAACAGGCAUUUCAGUGUCUCUGUUUUUGGUAACAGCUGUGAAGGGCAGCAGCGCCACCUGGUGGAGUUUCAGCAAUAAAGCAGGAGUGUCGUAUAAAUCUGUCCUAAUUGUUUAAAUUAUCAGAGAAAUGUUGGAACCUUGCAACACUGGUCCUAAUUAGGAGCAGAUUUUCAGGAUUUGUACUCACAUUAUGUGAACAAGUCUAAGGAUUCAUUUGCAGGACUGACUGCCUGUGUAGCAACAUAACAGUGGAUCAUGAAUAACUGCAAAACAGUGAUAUUUUUAUGCAUAAAAAACAGGAUGAAUUUGUAGCUAAUUCAUUUAUUUUUUUUACUGGAUUGGUUUUGAUGGCAGGACUCAGCCAUGUUCAUUUACAGUGAUUGUCCCAAGACAACUCUUUUCCUUUGAAAAGUGUCUUGGUUGCAUCUCAGAAUCACUCUCUCCAUUGUGGACAACGUUAUUCAAAUUCUGCACACUGUAUAGAAAAUCCCUCUGAUGUAGUACUUCCCAGGCUGAAUAUUAUAAUGCAAAUUAAUUCUGUUUAGAGCUCAACCAUUUGGGCAAAAUAUCUAAUCCAAUUUCCCUCCUUCAGUUCAAUGUUCACUGUGUAAUAGAUUUAAAACGUGAUGGACGUUACCACAUGUCUGCCAUGCAAGAUGGGAUGAAUUUGUAAAACCUUUGUCAUGACAGUUCAAAGAAGGACAGGACAAUCUCUGUGAUGCUGUUAAGAAUAUAUUUGAAGAAACAGUUGCUUCAGCAUUUUAAGCAACACCAUGCAGAACACAAACCUUGUGUCCUGCAGAAACCUUGUACCUUCAAUUUGCCUUCUCAACAUUACUGAAGAAUGACACAAGCUGCAGCUCGUGUGAAAGGUUCCCACUAUAUCAAUCGGAUCUCUUGGUAUGUGGAAUGUUACAAGAAUAUAGCACCCCAAACUGAAAAAAAAGUUUUCAUUUUCUAGUCACCCUCAUGUCUGUUGAAGUCCAAAUUUAACGACAUAAAGUUAAUUGAUAAUCUAGGUUUUCUCCAAAACAGCAGAUGAAAAAAAAUCAUGACCAUGAAAAAGAAUGUGGAAUUAGUGACACCAGAUCUGUAAUUAAAUGCACAUAGUGGUUAAAAGUUGCACGAGAUGAUGUCAAAUCAGGUUAUAUUGAAUAUCAAUGUAGCUCGUGAGUGUAGUGUUGGACGAAAAAGAAGCCCAGCUUUAUACAUGGUGUGACCGACAUGAGGGUGAGAAGCUAAUGAAUGACAAUGUUCACCCCUACGUCAACAACUCCUUUCAUAUUAAAAGCAAAUCUUAAUAAGGAAAUGAUUCUGGCAUUCUCAACUAGUUUUCGGGGAACAAGGUUUAUGAAGGACAAAUAUAGAAAAACCACACAGGUAUAAAUUGUAACUUUUAAUUCUUUUCCAGAGAAGUUUGUGUUUUACUGGUAAAUUAACAGAAACAUUUUACCAGCAUCACAAACCUUCAGAGGACCCUGGUCUACCUCUUCAAGAGGGACAAGGAAAGGCUUCACACAUCACACUUAUCCCAAAGACAACAAGCUGGAAUACAGUAAGCACCUGUAACCAUAGCAGAGGUCUAAAUAUUAAUGUUUUGUUAAAAUUCCUUGACAAAGUGUGGAUGGCCUGCAGAGGGAAGAUGCCAGUAGGAUGGCUGAGAAGAGCUGCUUCACAAAUGCAUGUAUCAAAAAAAACAGAUGCUCUUUGGAUCAAAGGACAAAUCAAGGAAAGAGGUUAGACUUGUACUCUGCUAGGACAGAACCAAAAAAUACCAAGGCAACUACUAAAACUCCUUUAACCCUCAUGUGCACAAAUAAGGCCCUCAAUGUAAACCGAUGCCUAAUGGUUGUUGAGGAGGCUUGGCGUCUACGCAUUUCAACUCAGUCUUCAUCAGGGCACAGCUUCCUGUCAUGUUCUUACAUGCUCUGAUAAAGUAGUUCAGGCCAUAAUGAUGUUCACCUUUUAACAAAGCAUGAAACCUGGAGCACUUGUGCAGUUUCUGGGCUUGAGCAACACUUCAUCGUGACUGUUCUACUUUCUGACAUCACCAAAUAAUGUAUUUUGCAUUCUGAAACAAACAUGACAACACAGAAAGGUGAUGGUUACAUAUAUGUUUGAUGGCCAAAGAUGACGACGAUACCAUAACCUAAUAACAUCAUUAGCUGUUCAGGUAUAUAAAUAACAGGGAAUUCAGAAGCAAUGUGAGAAGGAAUUCACAGCGUCUAAGAAUCGAGGCAGGACUUCUUAAUGUAAUAUAUAAUGUCUGACUGUUGUGUACGGUUUAAAAAGCUCCAUCACGCUGUUCAUUACCCCUGACAAUACUGAGACUGCAAAGACUAGAACAAUAUUCAAUAUAACCUAGAAAGUGUGUCAAACAUAAAGACUGAUUUAAAAAAGAAUAUUCAAAAAACACACAGAGCUGUGUACUUUCAAUACCCACAGCAGUGUUUCAUGCUGUCACAAUGCCAGAAUUACAGGAUGAGCUGAGUUGAAAUGCAUGUAUGUUAAGCCCAUUCAAUGAAGGUUUUUACAUUUUUGCAAAGAAAUGUGCCUUGGGUAUUGGUUGGUUCUGACUUACUGAUCACUAAAGCUAAGUAAAAGUCUAAUCCCUUCCUCUUCCUAAACUGGGAGAGACACAUUAAGACCUCACUUGUAAGUCAUUUCAAAUGUAUUGACCAGAACAUUACAUUGUGCAUAAAGUCAGAGUCUCAGGCUGUGCUGCCAUUCUCUCACUAGAAGCAUAACGGUACGUUUCAAGCAUUACAUGCACAGUAUAUAAUAUUUAAUAUCAGGCUUUUAUGAGUCUUUUAAAAUCUCACUAGGUAACUUUGCAUUUGGUAGCCCCAAAGAAGCAGCAAGAUAUAGAUGCAACAUUUCCACUUGCCUUUGUAAAGGUAGUGUCUAUGCUGCGUAGAAAAUUGUUUGCUUUGAGCUCAGAAAUGUCAAAAAUCUGUCUCUUAGGUUGGACACUGAUGUUGAUGAAUUGAAGCCACAAGACAAGCAGAAUUAAUGAGGACAAAUGGGAUGAAUUCACAUUGUGCUUCAGUUCUAGCUUUAGUUUAAAGGUACAUCAGUUAAGGAUUAGAGAAGAUUUAUGACUGUAUAGCCUCAUAUUCUCUGCAAGGCGACAGCUUGAAACAUAAUUUGGUAUUAGUGCUGGGAUUCUUAAAAAAA